GUUGCCAAGAAGGGGCCUGUACCUAGCAGAGGUAUUUGUGUAAUCAAAGCUUCUGGAACUUUCCCUGCCAAGGCUACCAAUGUGAAUAGGCUCCUGAGGUAAAAAUGUUCCCCCUGCUGGGGACGGCGCCCUUGAAGUCUACAUCAAAAUCAAGCCAGGGUCACAGCUGUUGAGGCACCCCACAGUGGAAAACUUGCAAGAAAUCCUAGCCUGUACUACUGUUUUGCCUCAGGUCUAGAGGAAACAGGCCGCUGUUGCAAGGGAGCAAAAAGAGGGGGGAAUGAGAGAGAGGGAGAGAGAGAGAAGGGAGAGGGAAAGAAUCUGCUUUCCAAAAGGCAACACUUCUAACUGGUACUUUGGGGUGGAAAGACAAAGCCACUCCGGAACCUUGCCCCCUUCACCAAGGCAACCUCACCCCAGUCACGUUCACUCAUUCCCCCUGUGAGUUGGGGGGUCGCAGGUUGGCUGAGAGCCACUAGGUGGCAGCAGAUUAACUCUUCAAAUGCCAGAACGGGUGCUUAGCAGUCAGGAAUUGGGUCUGAAAACUUGGCAUCUGGUCACUUCCCUCAAAGGAAAGGAAAAACAAAUGGCUUUUUCUGUACUUUCGGAUCCUUGGCUUGUUGCAUCGAUAUUGGAGGAAAUGCUAUGAAAGGAAGAUUGCUUCCUGGUCACCCAUUCAUAGGGUGGCUUGGGGCUGGGUGAAAUGCAAUUGUGUAUGCACCGGGUUUCAUGACUUGAAGGACACUUGGUUCACAACUGUUUCAAGAGACUAAAAGAUCCUUUGAGAAAUUCAUGUUCACAUUCAAUUCACUUCAACGAAUACUAAAUACAAUGAGAAAUGAGUGCAUUCCAUUUUCUAGGGUUAUUUCCCCAGCUGAUGGCCAGGGCCCCCACCCUUGAGGAUCGUGGGGGGAAGACAGGAUCUAAAUGAAGAGUGUUCUUCUUGGUCAUCCACCUUGGUUGGCAGUCUCAGAACAAAGCUCAUUCAAAUACACGGAAAGUGGAGGAAAGCAUCUUACCAACGUGACUUGCGGUCAUCAGAGCUGUAGGAACGUGGUUCUCAAAGCUGUGAGUAAUGGCAAUUCCUGUGCCUCUACUUCUAUUUCUGACAUGAAACUCUUACUCUUUAAAAAAAUGUUUACUUUUUAAAAUAUAAAAGUACUCCACGCUCAUUAAAGGAAAUUCGCAAAAUAGGGAAAAGCAGAAAAGCACAAAACAGUUUUCAAUCAGAGUCUCACUAUGUAAAUAGUGAGUCUGUACAUUUUGGAGGAUGAAUUACUCUCUUACUUAUGGAAUUUAAUAAAAGCCAGAUGACAGCUCA
rnacentral:lncRNA from 12 species